CACGUAGGGACCAAGCGUUAUCCGGAAUCAUUGGGUUUAAAGGGUCCGUAGGUUGAUAAUUAAGUCAGAGGUGAAAGUUUGCGGCUCAACCGUAAAAUUGCCUUUGAUACUGAUAGUCUUGAAUUGUAGUGAAGUGGUUAGAAUAUGUGGUGUAGCGGUGAAAUGCAUAGAUAUCACAUAGAAUACCGAUUGCGAAGGCAGAUCACUAACAAUGUACUGACGCUCAUGGACGAAAGCGUGGGGAGCGAACGGG
rnacentral:rRNA from 1 species